UACGUAGGGUCCGAGCGUUGUCCGGAGUUACUGGGCGUGAAGCGCGCGCAGGCGGCUCGUCAAGUCUGGCGUGAAAGCCCCCGGCUCAACCGGGGAGGGUCGUCGGAGACUGGCGAGCUUGAGGGCGGUAGGGGCUGGUGGAAUUCCCGGUGUAGUGGUGAAAUGCGUAGAGAUCGGGAGGAACACCUGUGGCGAAGGCGGCCAGCUGGGCCGUCCCUGACGCUGAGGCGCGAAGGCGUGGGGAGCGAACGGG
rnacentral:rRNA from 1 species